GGGACCUCUGCCAGCCCCUACAAUGGCCAUGGAAAGGCUGUCAGCAUGAGGACGUUUAUCAAAGAAAUGAAUUGUGAAUGAAAUCCUGCAAGAAAAACCCUCCAGCACAGGGGAGACUGUUCAAAACCAGUUUGUAAAAGUCAUUGCCUUCAUCAAGUUAAUUAGCUGCAUAAGUGCAGGCUCAACGUGGCAACACAACCCAAGGGUUGAUGGGUUGGUGCCAUCCAGCUGUGUCUGUCCUGCUCCCUCCAGCUGGCAGCACUGAGCCGAGCCCUGCAGAGCAGCCAGGAGGGGAUGUGGGAGCCAAGAGCUGGAGCUCAGGGCAUGCAGAGCAAUGGGGAUGGGGCCAGGGGUGGAAGGGCUGCGCUGAAUGCUGUGAGAAGAUGAGGAGGAAAACGCUGGAUCUCAGGGAAGAGAAGCAGGAGCUGAAGGAGGUGAAUGGAUGUCAGGAGAACUGUCACCUGAAGGAGCUGGCAGCCCCAGCAGCCCUGAAGGAGCCACUGACCACAGUGAGAGCCCUGCGGGUGGCAGGAGGUCCUGCCCCACAUCCAACACUGCCUGCAGGAGCUGCAAGUAGAGGACCUUGGUGUGCUGGGAGCAGAGCUGGGCACCACAGCAAGUAUAGAGGGGUUCCUGAUGCCACCUCUUGA
rnacentral:lncRNA from 1 species